rnacentral:tRNA from 2 species
ACAUGUAGAAAUGACAUUAGAAGAUUAACGGACGGGGGUUCAAAUCCCCCCGGCUCCACCA